AGUCUCUCUUUCCCCACAUAAUUUCGAGAAAAAAAGUGGUAUAAACAAUGGUCAAAAUGGAGUCAUCUCCAGUGACAAUCUUCGUCACCUUCUACGCCGGAUCCUGUAGGAGAACAAGUCUGAUGAGUCGCUUCUUGUCCGGCAACAAAGAGAGAAUAGUAACAUGGAUGCUUCAAGUCCAAUUGAUUAGCAUCGCUGACAUUUGCUUUGAUUGGCUGCAUACUGCUCCAAUUUUCUGCCAUAGUAACAUUCAUGAGUAUACAUAAUGAUAUAAUAUAUAUACUUUUCUAUUUCCUGCCUUUGUUUUUGUUAGAAGAGUGAUCCUCUUGAAACGAUAUAUUUAGUCGCACUUCUGAUCUAUAAGCAAUAUUUUUUUAGUGCAAAAUGAGAACUUGUGGCUACAUUGAUGAAUUUGGUUGAACUGUUAAUGAAUGUUUGUUGAUUAAUGUAUAGCAGUUGUUCAGGGAUGGGAAGUAGAAAAGGGACUUGGAAAGGAAAAGCAAGGCGUCAUAGACCAGGACAUAUCAAUGUGAAGAACAACCCUCUUAUUUCUUUAAUAUCAUGAUAAUUAAAAUUGAUUGAUAUUGUGCAAUUUUUCAUUUAUUAAAUAAUCGAUGAUUUUGAUUUGGUGCCUACAGGCUACAGGUGUGUGACAGAUACUAAUUGCAGGGGC
rnacentral:lncRNA from 1 species